UCGUGCUAGGCGGGGAGUUAGCGGUGCCCUGUCGCCCGAAAUCCGCUCAGCGGGGCUGAAUCCCCUCUGGAGGGCCUGCGCUGAACAGGCCGUCGUGACCUUCGGCACCGAUUGGACACCGCGCAACGGGCGGAUGUGAACCCCGUCAGGUCCGGAAGGAAGCAGCGGUAAGCAUUGCAGCCCGUGUCGUGGUUCACUCUAAUCCGGAGCCGGAGGGAAAGCGGCUUGCACUCAGCCGGUUCGACAGAGGGUGCACGG
rnacentral:SRP_RNA from 1 species